rnacentral:rRNA from 1 species
UACGAAGGGGGCUAGCGUCGUCCGGAAUCAUUGGGCGUAAAGGGCGCGUAGGUGGCCCAGCAAGCGUGCGGUGAAAGCUCGGGGCUCAACCCCGAGUCGGCCGUGCGAACUGCGGGGCUCGAGCACUGUAGAGGCAGGCGGAAUUCCGGGAGUAGCGGUGGAAUGCGUAGAGAUCCGUAAGAACACCGGUGGCGAAGGCGGCCUGCUGGGCAGUUGCUGACACUGAGGCGCGACAGCGUGGGGAGCAAACAGG